AGGACUUCGAGCUGCGCACGUAUGCGGCGCCCGCCUUCGCCCGCCUGCGGCGCUCGCUGGGCCUGUCUGAGGAGGACUACCAGGCGUCGCUGUCCUCCCGCGGCUUCUACCUCCAGUUCAUCAGCAACUCCAAGAGCUCGGCCGACUUCUUCCUCACGCAUGACAAGCGCUUCUUCCUGAAGACGCAGAGCAAACGGGAGAUCCGGUUCCUCCUCUCCAACCUGUCCCGGUACCUGCGGCACCUCGAGAGAUACCCCCACUCGCUCCUGGUCCGCUUCUUGGGGGUUCACAGCAUCAUCCUGCCCCGCCGGAGGAAGGUAGGUGCCCAUGGCCGGUGCCACGUGGCCCAGGGCUGCCGGCGC